UUUUCAGCUGUGGCAUCAAUAUCAGCUGGCAAUGAUGAAUAUGUCGGCAAUCUCAUUGCCGACGCAUUGGAGAAGAUAGGCCCUGAUGGGAUAAUCAAAAUCGACUCCUCAUCUUCCAUAUAUACUUCAGUUGAGGUGCAGGAAGGAAUGAAGAUAGACAAGGAUUACACCUCACCUCAUUUCAUCACAAAUCGAGACAAAGCAAUUGUUGAAUUUGAAAAUGCUAGAGUGCUUUUAACUGAUCAACGGGUGAAUGAAAUCCAAGAGAUACUUCCUUUGCUUGAGAAGACCACACAGUUGAGUGUCCCUUUGUUGAUUAUUGCCGAGGAUAUUUCGCAUUCGGUGUACUCGACUCUGGUUCUUAACAAACUGAAUGGUUUGCUCAAUGUUGCAGUUGUCAAAUGUCCUGGUUUGGGAGAUGAAAAGAAGGCUAUUCUGCAAGAUAUUGCCAUUAUGACAGGUGCAUAUUUCUUUGUUAGUGACCUUGGUUGGGGCCUUCAAGCAAUUACGUCUGAUCAGCUGGGCAUGGCUCAAAAGAUCACUAUCACGAGUGAAUCUACAACUAUAAUUGCACAUCCCUCUAUGAGACCAGAGAUUGAGGCUAGGAUUAUGCAAGUAAAGCAAGAUCUAGAGGAGACAACAAGUGCCUAUCUAAAAGAAAGGUUUUCCGCAAGAAUUGCUAAACUCUCAAGAGGUGUAGCAGUUAUCAAGGUACGGGCAGCCACUGAAGCUGAACUUGAGGACAGAAAGCUAAGAGUGGAGGAUGCGAAGAAUGCAACUUUUGCAGCCAUCAGCGAAGGCAUCACACCUGGUGGUGGUGUAACAUAUGUUGAACUGUCAAAGCAUAUUCCCAGUAUCAUGGAUCUCGUGGAUGAUCCGGAAGAGAAGAUUGGUGUAAAUAUUGUGGGGAAGGUAGUUCAUCCAUCCAUUUACUCCUGUAUCUUUGGUAGCAUUUGUAACACUUUUGCACUUCUGCAAAUUACAUAUGGUUCAGCUGUCAUAGAGAAGAUUCUUGAAAGCGAGUGGCGAGUUGGGUACAAUGCGAUGACCGACAAGUUCGAAGAUCUUGUUGAUGCUGGCAUGGUCGAUCCAUCCCGGGUUGAAAGAUGCGUGCUCUAG
rnacentral:rRNA from 1 species